rnacentral:rRNA from 1 species
AUUGAACGCUGGCGGCAGGCCUAACACAUGCAAGUCGAACGAGUGGCGGACGGGUGAGUAAUGUCUGGGAAACUGCCCGAUCGGGGGGGAUAACCACUGGAAACGGUCGCUAAUACCGCAUACCAUCGGAUGUGCCUAGAUGGGAUUAGCUGGUAGGGGGGGUAACGGCUCACCUAGGCGACGACCCCUAGCUUGUCUGAGAGGAGGAACAGCCAAAUUGGAACUGAGACACGGCCCAGACUCCUACGGGAGGAAGCAGUGGGGAAUAUUGCACAAUGGGCGAAAGCCUGAUGCAGCCAGGCCGCGUGUAUGAAGAAGGCCUUCGGGUUGUAAAGUACUUUCAGCGAGGAGGCGGUACUCGCAGAAGAAGCACCGGCUAACUCCGUGCCAGCAGCCGCGGUAAUAC